UACGUAGGGUGCAAGCGUUAAUCGGAAUUACUGGGCGUAAAGCGUGCGCAGGCGGUUUUGUAAGUCUGACGUGAAAUCCCCGGGCUCAACCUGGGAAUUGCGUUGGAGACUGCAAGGCUAGAAUCUGGCAGAGGGGGGUAGAAUUCCACGUGUAGCAGUGAAAUGCGUAGAUAUGUGGAGGAACACCGAUGGCGAAGGCAGCCCCCUGGGCUAAGAUUGACGACUCAUGGCAC
rnacentral:rRNA from 1 species